rnacentral:lncRNA from 1 species
GCUGAAGAAUGGGGUGAGCCAAUUGAAGAUCUUGUCUCAAUUCCUUUGAACGAUGGAAAUGAGGAGCAUGUGGUGAAGAUCGGCUCCAACCUAGGAGGAGAGGUACGGACAUAGCUUAUUAAUUUUCUACAAAAGAAUGCGGAUGUUUUCGCUUGGGUCCCGACGGACAUGCUAGGGAUUGAUGCGGGAGUCAUGGAACACUGCC